rnacentral:ncRNA from 2 species
UAGGCUCGGGGUGCUGGUGGUCCGCCGUGCUCCGGAGUUGCCCGGGACGCGGUGGGGUAAGAGGGAACCCGGUGUGAAUCCGGGACUGCCCCGCAGCGGUGAGUGGGAACGACCGCCGUCAAGAGCACUGGGCGAGAGCCUGGGAAGCGACGGCCAGUAGGUCCGGGCGGGACACGCCCGGGUGCCCGCGAGUCCGAAGACCUGCCACCGGUACGCACACCGC